rnacentral:lncRNA from 1 species
UUAGGAUUUAGGAUUUUUUAAAGAUUUUAUUAUGAUUUAUCUAGGAUUUGAUUAGGAUUUUAUUAUUAUUUGUCUAAGAUUCAAUUAGGAUUUGUUUAGGAUUUGAUUAAGAUUUAUUUACGAUUUAGAAUUUUAUUAAGGUUUGAUUGAAAUUGGUUUAAGAUUUGUUUAAAUUAAGAUUUGAAAAAUUUAAAAACUAAAAAAU